GCAUCGGUGGUUCAGUGGUAGGGAGCCUGCCACGCGGGCGGCCCGGGUUCGAUUCCCGGUCGAUGCA
rnacentral:tRNA from 1 species